UUCUCAUACACACACUCAUCAGCAUACAGACCUAAAAAUCCUCUGAACAAAAAAUCCAGCUUCCGGUUUUCCUAUUUUUCUUUCUUUUACAAAAAUCUGGAAGGAAUUUUCUUCGUGUUCUGGGUUCCUGAGCUAAGUUAUGAACUGAUACUGAAGUUGUGGUAGAUAUAUACUGUUGUUCCUGGAGUUGCUGGACUUCAUCUUCUGUUUUCAGAACAUUAUUUGAUUAUUUUUUGUUAUUCCUUUGCAAGUUAGAGGAUAGCCCAAUGUUAUUCCUUUAUGAAUCAAGAAAUGAUUUGCAAAUAAGAAGGACAGUCAGCCAGAGACAGCUUGUUCCCAUGGAAGCUCAUAGAAAUGGGUUUAGAAUUAAUUUGAUAUUAUUUGUAUAAUGUGGGUCAUUGUAUUAGUGUUUUUCAUCUUCAUGUCAUAGUUUAUUGCAAUUAAAGUAUGAAUAUAACCAAUUUUUGUAUGUUAAAGUGGAUAGGGUUUUAAACUGACUUUGUAAAACUGUUCAAUCUAUCAUAAUUGUCGUCAUAUGCGUAUUGGGCUUAAGCCACUGUUUAAUCUCUUA